GACGAACGCUGGCGGCGUGCCUAAUACAUGCAAGUCGAACGCUGAAACUUGGUGCUUGCACCGAGCGGAUGAGUUGCGAACGGGUGAGUAACGCGUAGGUAACCUGCCUGGUAGCGGGGGAUAACUAUUGGAAACGAUAGCUAAUACCGCAUAAGAGUAGAUGUUGCAUGACAUUUGCUUAAAAGGUGCAAUUGCACCACUACCAGAUGGACCUGCGUUGUAUUAGCUAGUUGGUGGGGUAACGGCUCACCAAGGCGACGAUACAUAGCCGACCUGAGAGGGUGAUCGGCCACACUGGGACUGAGACACGGCCCAGACUCCUACGGGAGGCAGCAGUAGGGAAUCUUCGGCAAUGGACGGAAGUCUGACCGAGCAACGCCGCGUGAGUGAAGAAGGUUUUCGGAUCGUAAAGCUCUGUUGUAAGAGAAGAACGAGUGUGAGAGUGGAAAGUUCACACUGUGACGGUAGCUUACCAGAAAGGGACGGCUAACUACGUG
rnacentral:rRNA from 1 species